rnacentral:lncRNA from 1 species
AAAGCAGUGGGAGAGAGGAGGGUAUAGUGCUGUCGGCAUAGAAGCUUUGGCAAAAAAAUACAAGUUUGUUUUUCUCAGAUGCUUCUCAUAAAUAAGUGGAUUAACACAAAUAGUCGGUACAGAGUUAGACUACUUUGGUUGUGCAGUCCAACUUGCUUCACUGCUUUGGAGGUUGAAGAUGGUAAAUGAUUUUCAUGAACCGUUUUGCAAAUUUUUAAACUUUGUCCUUUCUUUACUAAGUUUUAGGCCCUGUGAAGUCCAUGUGUCCCGUUCUGCAGUCUUUCCCGUGCUCUCUCUCCUUCUAAGAUGCAAUCUGGUGCCUGAGGAAUGGCCUGAAUCCCAAAUUCAGCCGUGAAAGAGGACCAAAAAUGUCACCCUGGCAGCUUUGAGUUGUCAUCGGCCAGCCUGGGUGUGCUGCUCUGAAGCAGUGUCACUCUGCAGCCACCGAGACCACCUCAGUUUCCCCUCCAUCCAGGCUGGCUCCAACUCCUUGUCAGCUGGGCUGAAAAGUACAGCAGUUCAUGAGCACUUGGCAUGUGCCAGCUCAGCAGAUGGAUCUAGAUGGGAAGGAGGUCCAGUGUUGGAAGUCCAGUGCUGGAAACCUGACAAGUAAUGAGAGCUGGAAGGGAGUCCAGUUUCUCCAGUGAUUCUAAACAUCGUAGCAGAGCCAAGUUUAAGUAAGUCUGAGGUACGUGCCUGGACUAACCCUAUGCAUUCCUCUACAGCAGCCCCUCCUAUGCAUAAGCAUGCUGGGAUGAAGCAGAGCAGGCUCUAGCCAUGGUGCAAUGUCCCCAUUGCAUGGGGGGGACAUCUCUCACUUAACAGGUGUCAUACCAUCUCUGGAGGCAUUCAAGGCCAGGCUCCUGGGCAACCCUGCCCACGACAGGAGGAUUGGAAUUAGAUGAUAUUUAAGGUUCCUUCCAACAUAAGCCAUUUUGUGAUUUUAUGGUUCUAUGAUACAUUGCAAAAGGCAUUGCUGGUGGGGGUCUGGCAACCUGCUUUAUCCCUUUGGGGAAUUCACCCUAUCCUCAGCACUGAGGGAAUCUAUUGGCUUUAAAGUCAACAUUCAGGAAUCAUUGCUCACUGGUGCUGGCAGGGUAAUGGAGAUGUCAAGAAUGCCUGAAGAUCUUCAUAAUCUGGAGGUUGCAUUGUGGAUUAUUUUUGAAACUAUGGAAGCAUUGUUUUUCUUUUCCUUGUUUGAAGCUGUCCAGGUUUUUG